GGCUCAGUGGUCUAGAGGUUAAGCGUUCGCGCGUGAGGCAGAAGGCCCUGGGUUCGAAUCCCUCGAGCGGGGUC
rnacentral:tRNA from 1 species